AACGAACGCUGGCGGCAGGCUUAACACAUGCAAGUCGAACGAGAUCUUCGGAUCUAGUGGCAGACGGGUGAGGAACACGUGGGAACAUCCCUCUCAGUUCGGAAUAACGUUGGAAACUAACGCUAAUACCGGAUACGUCCUUCGGGAGAAAGAUUUAUCGCUGAAAGAUUGGCCCGCGUGUGAUUAGCUAGUUGGUGAGGUAAUGGCUCACCAAGGCUACGAUCAGUAGCUGAUCUGAGAGGAUGAUCAGCCACAUUGGGACUGAGACACGGCCCAAACUCCUACGGGAGGCAGCAGUGGGGAAUAUUGGACAAUGGGCGCAAGUCUGAUCCAGCCAUGCCGCGUGAGUGAUGACGGCCUUCGGGUUGUAAAGCUCUUUUGUCCGGGAAGAUAAUGACUGUACCGGAAGAAUAAGCCCCGGCAAACUUCGUGCCAGCAGCCGCGGUAA
rnacentral:rRNA from 1 species